rnacentral:rRNA from 1 species
CCUACGUGGGGCAGCAGUGGGGAAUAUUGGACAAUGGGGGGAACCCUGAUCCAGCGACGCCGCGUGAGUGAAGAAGUAUUUCGGUAUGUAAAGCUCUAUCAGCAGGGAAGAAAGAAAUGACGGUACCUGACUAAGAAGCCCCGGCUAACUACGUGCCAGCAGCCGCGGUAAUACGUAGGGGGCAAGCGUUAUCCGGAUUUACUGGGUGUAAAGGGAGCGUAGACGGCGAUGCAAGUCUGAAGUGAAAGGCGGGGGCCCAACCCCCGGACUGCUUUGGAAACUGUAUGGCUGGAGUGCAGGGGAGGUAAGUGGAAUUCCUAGUGUAGCGGUGAAAUGCGUAGAUAUUAGGAGGAACACCAGUGGCGAAGGCGGCUUACUGGACUGUAACUGACGUUGAGGCUCGAAAGCGUGGGGAGCAAACAGGAUUAGAUACCCUAGUAGUC